UACAGAGGUCCCAAGCGUUGUUCGGAUUCACUGGGCGUAAAGGGUGCGUAGGCGGUCGGGUAAGUCUGAUGUGAAAUCUCACAGCUUAACUGUGAAACUGCAUUGGAUACUAUUCGGCUUGAGAGUUGGAGGGGGGACUGGAAUUCUUGGUGUAGCAGUGGAAAUGCGUAGAUAUCAAGAGGAACACCAGUGGCGAAGGCGAGUCCCUGGACAACUUCUGACGCUGAGGCACGAAAGCUAGGGGAGCAAACAGG
rnacentral:rRNA from 1 species